rnacentral:rRNA from 1 species
UACGAAGGGUGCAAGCGUUAAUCGGGAUUACUGGGCGUAAAGGGUGCGUAGGCGGUUGUUUAAGUCUGUCGUGAAAUCCCCGGGCUCAACCUGGGAAUGGCGAUGGAUACUGGGCAGCUAGAGUGUGUCAGAGGAUGGUGGAAUUCCCGGUGUAGCGGUGAAAUGCGUAGAGAUCGGGAGGAACAUCAGUGGCGAAGGCGGCCAUCUGGGACAACACUGACGCUGAAGCACGAAAGCGUGGGGAGCAAACAGG